UCUCCGUAGGUGAACCUGCGGAGGGAUCAUUACUGAGUGAGGGCUCACGCCCGACCUCCAACCCUUUGUGAACCAAACUUGUUGCUUCGGGGGCGACCCUGCCGUUCGGCGCGGCGCCCCCGGAGGCUCAUCAAACACUGCAUCUUUGCGUCGGAGUUUAAAACAAAUUAAACAAAACUUUCAACAACGGAUCUCUUGGUUCUGGCAUCGAUGAAGAACGCAGC
rnacentral:misc_RNA from 1 species